rnacentral:rRNA from 1 species
UACAGAGGGGGCGAGCGUUGUUCGGAAUUACUGGGCGUAAAGGGCGCGUAGGCGGCCUUCUAAGUCGAACGUGAAAUCCCCGGGCUCAACCCGGGAACUGCGUCCGAUACUGGGAGGCUUGAAUCCGGGAGAGGGAUGUGGAAUUCCAGGUGUAGCGGUGAAAUGCGUAGAUAUCUGGAGGAACACCGGUGGCGAAGGCGGCAUCCUGGACCGGUAUCGACGCUGAGGCGCGAAAGCCAGGGGAGCAAACGGG